rnacentral:lncRNA from 1 species
CCCGGUACCGCCGCAUGCGAGUAGAGGAUACAGCUGUGUGCUCUCUCCCCCGCCAGAUGUGCGCGCUGCGGGGAAGGGCCGUUCUCAGAUCAUUAAUCGAUGAAGUGCCUUCGCAGACUUUUGCCAGCAGAUGUUAAUCAAUCAUUAUUUUUUAUACUGAAACUGAGACUUUGACUGUGCCAUGUCUAAGUGACCCAAAAACCUGGCUGCUUUGGAAAGAGGAUAGUAUUGGCAAGCAAAGAAAUAUGAGUGGUGUUUUCCACCUCAAGACUUCAUUCUGUAAGAUGUAUCGACUGGAUUGCCUACCUGUAACUCAGCUUUGUAAGCAGCCUCCCGAGGUUAGCCCUGGUGGUAUGACAUGCCUUGUGCUUUGCCAGCCCCUACAAGCCAGCCAAAGUCUGUUAAAGCCUUCAGAGCACAAAAACACUGAUGAGAUGGAUCUCUCACAGGUAUGCAUCAGGGAUAAAGCAGAGAUGUUUCAUUUGCAACGGCCUAAAAUUAGCUGCUGUUAACUCAAAGCAGAAGUAACUGCCUCCUUUGUCGUUACUUCUAGUGGAACAGGACAGCUAAUGUAUUUAAUGGAAAUGCUGAUACUAAGUAUGUACAGUAUAUACAUAUAUUCUGUAUGUAUAUAUAUAUGUGUGUAUACAUGUAUAUGCCAGCAUGUUGAAGUGUAGAAGAAGAUUUUUGGAGAGCUCUGGGAGAUUCAGGUAUAUGGCUUGCUUUGGACUUUUAUUAAAAUAUGGGCAUUUUGGUUACGAAGCUAAAAAUAGAUACAUUAAGACCUAAAUUGUCAAUGUAGGUCAGUGGAGGCACUUCUCAGACAUAUUAGCAUUUUGGACACUUCAUCUUAGCAGCAUAUUGCGUCUCCUAGAAUAGGUUAGUAGAGGCAACGCAGGAGAAAUUGCUGCAUCUCAAGUCAUUCAGAAAGGUUGCCAAGUUUCUCAGGAACCAGAAUGGCAGAAUAAUGAGUAUUAUAUUUAAUUUGGGAUGGAAAGACAACCGUGGGGAGUUCAGCAAAGGCAACUCAGAUCAUCUUGGCUCCGUGCGGGAGGGAGAAUUUAUAACUAUAGCUAGCUAAAAAGCAGCAAGUUGUGUGUGUGUUUCUGUAUAUAUAUACUUAUAUAUAUAUGUAUAUACAAAUCUGUGUAUGUGUAUAUAACACGGUGUGUAUAUAUGUAUGUAUGUAUAUGCCUAUAAUGUAUAAUAUGUGUAUCUAUAGAUAUGUAUACAUUUAUAUAAAUUUAUAUUUCUCUAUAUAAAUAUUCAUGCAACUAUGGGAAAUAACAUUUCAAUACUGUGUCUUUUUCUUUAAAACCCAACAAAAAGCUGCUUCCAUUAACAUCAUACUGGCACAAAUGUCUUAAGUUAUCUUUUAUGUGUAGAAAGGAGCAUUGCUUAGUGGUUGAGCACAAGGCUGGAAGGUUUUUGUCUCUUCCAGAAGACCCCAAGUAAGUCGUUAGCUGCUCCACAGCUGUUCUACAUUUGUGAAAUAAAGUGGUGGCCAAAAUGUCUUAGGGCUGGUUU